rnacentral:rRNA from 1 species
CAAUAGCGUAUAUUUAAGUUGUUGCAGUUAAAAAGCUCGUAGUUGGAUUUCGGGUGGGACGCAGCGGUCUCGCAUUGCGUUUGUACUGCUGCAACCCUCCUUCUUGCCGGGGGCGGCCUCUCGGACUUCACUGUCUGGGGGUCAGAAUCGGCGAUGUUACUUUGAGUAAAUUAGAGUGUUCAAAGCAAGCUUACGCUCUGAAUAUAAUAGCAUGGGAUAACACGACAGGACUCUGGCCUAUCGUGUUGGUCUAUAGGACCAGAGUAAUGAUUAAGAGGGACAGUCGGGGGCAUUCGUAUUCCGUUGUCAGAGGUGAAAUUCUUGGAUUUACGGAAGACGAACAUCUGCGAAAGCAUUUGCCAAGGAUGUUUUCAUUGA